UACGUAGGUCCCGAGCGUUGUCCGGAUUUAUUGGGCGUAAAGCGAGCGUAGGCGGUUUGAUAAGUUAGAGGUGAAAUGUCGGGGCUCAACCCCGAAACUGCCUCUAAUACUGUUGGACUAGAGAAUAGUUGCGGUAGGCGGAAUGUAUGGUGUAGCGGUGAAAUGCUUAGAGAUCAUACAGAACACCGAUUGCGAAGGCAGCUUACCAAACUAUAUCUGACGUUGAGGCACGAAAGCGUGGGUAGCAAACAGG
rnacentral:rRNA from 1 species